rnacentral:rRNA from 1 species
UACGUAGGGGGCAAGCGUUGUCCGGAAUUAUUGGGCGUAAAGCGCGCGCAGGCGGUCAUUUAAGUCUGGUGUUUAAUCCUGGGGCUCAACCCCGGGUCGCACUGGAAACUGGGUGGCUUGAGUACAGAAGAGGAGAGUGGAAUUCCACGUGUAGCGGUGAAAUGCGUAGAGAUCCGGAAGAACACCGGUGGCGAAGGCGGCGUUCUGGACUGCAACUGACACUGAUGAACGAAAGCCAGGGGAGCAAACGGG